UACGUAGGGUGCAAGCGUUGUCCGGAAUUAUUGGGCGUAAAGAGCUCGUAGGCGGUCUGUCGCGUCGAAUGUGAAAACCCGGGGCUCAACUCCGGGCUUGCAUUCGAUACGGGCAGGCUAGAGUUCGGUAGGGGAGUCUGGAAUUCCUGGUGUAGCGGUGAAAUGCGCAGAUAUCAGGAGGAACACCGGUGGCGAAGGCGGGACUCUGGGCCGAUACUGACGCUGAGGAGCGAAAGCGUGGGGAGCGAACAGG
rnacentral:rRNA from 1 species